UUAGGUCCCUUGUGACGACGCGGUAACCAGUCGCAAUAAAAGUUAAGGGGGAGGUUUUCUUGCCUCCGGCGGCAGUGCACCGGGGGCGUUCAGGGUUCUGUACGGGGCUCUGGCCUUAGGAGACGCGGUUUACAGGUGAGAAAAACUGAGGCUUGGGAAGACGAAGUAAAUUACCGACGACUCCUGAGCUAGUUAACAGGGGAUCCAGGACUCCUUCCAGCCUCAGCUCUGAACUGCUCACUAGGCAUAACACAUUCCACUAUUACGAAAACUCGAAGAAAUACAGACCCUUCCAGAACUUUUCCCUUCAGAAAGAGCUCCUUGGAACAAUACACUUCAGCUUCACUGGGAAAAUUUAAGUGCAUAUUCAAGGCGAUUCAUCAGCAAUAGCAAAUGGCUUAUUCCAGUCCAGACUGUUUCAAUUUUCAAGAACCAAAUAAACGUUUAGUCAUGGAGUCAUAGAAUAAUAAAAUAAAAUUGAAAAUGAAACCUUGGGGAAAUAAUAUGAAUCACACCUUACAACUAUAAAAAUCCAAAAAUUAUUCCUCUUCAUGUUCAAAGUUUUUCUUCAAAUGGGCAAUAAUGAUGAAGAUGACUGGACAAGCAACUGCAGCAGAGCAGAAGAACCCUGAAGGUGAUAUCCUCCUUGUGUACAGCACCUUCAACUUCUGGAGAGCUCCCAUUGCCAGCAUCCACACCUUUGAAGUGGACUUGCUCUAAGGUCAAGAUUUCUCUCUCCUGCCACCUUGCCCUCAUUGCUUUCCCUUUCCAGCACCUUCCUUCCAUCCCUUUACCAUUUUACUCUUGUUCUCUUCCCUCUGUUGUGUUCAUGGUGCUGAUGAAUCUGCUCGCUGAGUUGUAUUUAUUUAUUUAUUUAUUUAAUCUAUCUAUCUAUUUAUUUACUCCAUUCCUCUCAAAAGCCCUCAAGCCACAAAAUAGGGGCUCAAGCAAUGGAGUAUUGGAUCACAGGGGCUCCACUGCACUCCCACCCUGGGAUUAUCAACUUCAGAAAGUAGUCCUUAUGGGGGCUAGUAUAUAAGUCCUUAAGGAGUAGUAUACAGUACAAAAUGGAAGGCUGAUUUUUAAAAAUUCCAUUUUAAUCAGCUUCAAAGAUUGCUCAAACCUUCCUAAUUUUCUGCUCCAGGCAAGGAAACAUAAAUAUUUCUUAAAGGGUUGGAAAAACCUUGCAAGUUUUAAUUUGACAUGACUUGCUACAAAACAAGAUUUCUAAAAGGCUAAAACUCUUGCUUUUUCAACCCUGCUCCUUCUUGUAAUUCAUUCUUUUCCCCAGAGAAAUUAGGGUACUGAAAGGUAUAAAACAAGAGGAAACAAUACCUCAUGAAAAAGGAAAAUAGGGGAAAGUACGAAAUCAUUUCAGAAAUAGCUAAGCUUUUUCAGAAGAGUGUAUCUUUAGCCUAUUCACUUUACAACUUUGUUCCUAAAUGGGCUGAAAACUUGCUGAGAAAAAUCAGAUUUCAAAUCUUAAGAAAUCUUGCUGACUGGUAGGAUAAAUUGUAAGGUUUUGAUUAAAUCUUCUAAAGGGGACAGGGUUUGGGCCUUAGUAUUUUAAUCUUGCCCUCUUGCGUUUGGAAUAUAUAAUACUGAUCAGUGGACCUCAGGCCCAGUUCUUUAGCUACUUUAAGACUAUGAAACAAACAAUUACCUUUGACCCUACACCUUGUUCCCACUUCUUUGAAAAUUAUUGAUGUGUGCCACCAUUUACUUGUUUAUUUAAUAAAGAGACUCCCCCCCAAAAUAAAAGCACUUCACAAAAUGGACAGAACAUACUUAAGUUUUAUAAAAUGGCAGGAUCUUAAGUAGUAGAAAGAGCAUUAGCCAGCUUAGGCAAGGACUUAGAGGUUACUAGGAAACAGACUAAUGCUAUUUGAAACAGCUCCACACUGGGAAUAACCCAAUUAAUUGACUGUUAACAGGCAACUAUGGAGAGUAGGAUACUCAUGAACAGAACAGAAAAUAUCAAGGAAAAUGCAGAGGCUGCAACUGCAUGGGUAAAGCUCACAGACAUGAUGUGGGUGUAAAACUAGCCAUAAAGAAUAGUACAUAUAAGGAAUUCAUGUAUACAUAGGUCAAACAAGCUAAAUAAAUCUAUGGUGUCAGAAGAUAAAACUGGUUAUUUUGCAGGAAGCAGAGAAAAAGAGACUAGAAGGGGAUCAAUGAAGGUUUCUAGGGGUGAUAAUGUUCCACUUCUUGAUUUUGGUACUGUGGUUAAAUCUCCAUGUCUACUUUAAGAAAUACACUUGCUUCUAUAUUUUGUAUGGUUUCUGUGUUUGUCCGUAGGUGUGUUAUAUGUUAAUAAUAAUUUAAAGAGGAAUAUGUGUAUAAAGAGUUAAGAAUAAUAAUGAUAUUUCUGAAAAGAAGUUAGAACUUCUAAAUGUCACUGUUGCAAUGAUGGAUAAAAAAACAAUGAACUAGCCAGGCAUGGUGGUGCAUGCCUAUAAUCCCAGCACU